AUUUUUUGUAUUUUUAAAGUAGAGAUGAGGUUUUACCAUGUUGGCCAGGCUGGUCUCCAACUCCUGACCUCAGGUGACUCACCUUCCUCGGCCUCCCAGAGUGCUGGGAUUAUAGUCAUGAGCCAUGGUGCCCAGCCGAUACACCUCUUUUAAUACAAUCUCAGUUGCUCAUGGGGACUGAGGAGGGUGACACAUCUCCAUGAGAUUGCACACUCCUCACAGAGAGGCAGUCAUGCUUGCAUCUAGGUCUGCCUGGAUAUGGCUGCCCAGUUUCCCUGGCAGGUUUGGGGCCUGCUUUCCUUGCCGUAGACUCCUUCCAUUUCAGACACAAUGGGGAAGCCUGCAGUCUUCAGAACACACAACUGAGCUCUUCCUCUUCAGAGAACAGGAGAGAAAUAAAUGCCUCUCAUUUUUUUGGGGUGAGCCUGGCUGUCAUCAUGAUUUCUAGGUCAGACUCAGUUCCCAGGGGGCCACAUGCACAAGUCCCUUUCUUCAGCAGUGGGGAGAAGGUCAGUGCUUGGAGGGAGGGAGUGUGGUACAGCCUACAGCCUGUUUACAGAACCCCUGCUCUGUCUCCAGGCACUGGAAUGUGAUGCAGGAGCCCUGGUGAGCAGAGAGGGGAAGAGGGCGAAGACUGAGGGGAGGUGGGAGGGGCUGUUUAUCACUGGCACAGCAGCUACCUGCUUUUCACUUUAAAAAGCACCAGGAUCGGGAGGGCGUGGGGUGGGGGCUGGCACAGGAGGCGGGAGAGAGCCAGGCAUGAACUUGGCUUCUGUCGCAGCUGCGACUCUGACAGGUUUAGGGCUGUCUGAUGAAGUGUGCAUCCCUUAUUUGCAUGCGUUUGGAAGAGGAGGAGGAAGAAGAAGAAAAGAGGAGAAGGCAAAGGAGAUCCUGGGAUGUCCCUCUCUCUGUGAUUUCUCUAUCUCUCAGGUCACUCACUCUGGGCAAAAUCCUGCUUCCGUGUCCUGGGAAACCAUAUGGAGAAGCCCAUGUGAGGAGCUGAAGCCUCCGGCCCUCAGCCAGUGAUGCAUUCAGGCCUGCCAAUCAUGACCUGAGAGAGCUUGGGAGUGGAUCCUCCAGCCUCGGUUAAGCCUUCAGAUGACUGGAGCCCUGGCCGACUCCUUGACUGAAACCCCAUGAGGGUUCCUGAGCCAGAACCACCCAACUAAGUCACAUACAGAUUCCUGAUCCUCAGGAACGAUUAGAUAAUAAAUCUUGGUUGUUUUAAGCUGCUAAGUUUGGGGAAAAUUUGUUAUACAAUAGAUAAUAUUAAUACAUUUUCUCACUUCAUUAUCAGUAUGUCCUGGGUUACCUCCCAAAUGAACUAUUUAGGCUUGAAUCCUUGUAUCAGGGACAGCUUCCAGGGGAACCCAAAUUUAGUCUGGUAAGUGGAGAACCAGAAUUCAAACCCAGAGCACAUGAAGUGACUGUGCAAGAGCCUUGCACUGUAGAUGUGUCGGCCAGUCCUGGCUUCCACUCAAGUGCCUUGGUGAUAGGGACCAGCUCUUGAAGGUCCUUAGCUCAGUGCCUCCCAUGUGCUAGGUGCUCAGCAUGUGAUGCUUCCCUUCUAUUUCCUGCCCUCUCUUAUAGAGGCUUGGCUUUGUCAAGCUUAACUCUCCUGUAUUAGACUGAGGCUUAAGAGCAUGACCUCUGGAUUUAGAUUUCCUGCAUUCAAAUCCUGGCUCUGAGACUCACUAUUGGGUUGAUGUUGAAUCAGUUAUUUAACCAUUUUUCUGCCUCCAUUUCUUCCUCUACAAAAUGGGGAUAAU
rnacentral:lncRNA from 1 species